rnacentral:rRNA from 1 species
CGGUCGCCACGGUAAUACGUAGGUGGCAAGCGUUGUCCGGAAUUAUUGGGCGUAAAGGGCUCGCAGGCGGUUUCUUAAGUCUGAUGUGAAAGCCCCCGGCUCAACCGGGGAGGGUCAUUGGAAACUGGGAAACUUGAGUGCAGAAGAGGAGAGUGGAAUUCCACGUGUAGCGGUGAAAUGCGUAGAGAUGUGGAGGAACACCAGUGGCGAAGGCGACUCUCUGGUCUGUAACUGACGCUCAUGCACGAAAGCGUGGGGAGCAAACAGGAUUAGAUACCCCUGUAGUCCCUGUCUCUUAUAC